AGGUCACGCGCGAUUGGCCUCGGAGGGAAAGGGCGGGCCGUCGCGGCCGCCUCUUCUUGAGCAGCCAAAUGACACGUGUAGCUCGCACAGAUGACGGUCACGCGACACGAAGACAAGACGACUCGAGCACGGUGGCUACCAGCGGCCAAUCCAUUUGUAUCGUGGCUGUCCUCCGACGGAACCAUGGCGUCGGGUGCCCCUACGAAGAACUGUGCCAGCGCCGAUGCCUCGAGUACUUGUGCGAAAUAAAAAGCUAUGCGACGGCGGCGGGCACAUGUAACUGCGGAACUGAAGCGGAGCACUGCACACAUUGCAAUUCACGAAAUGAAACCGGUGAGUUUGCAAGGCGUGUCCACUUGAAUGAAUUCCCAGAAUGACACCAGGUUGUGAUUUUCUGCACUUGAGUCAAUAAAAAGAACAAUGAAUUCAAGCUGA